GGUGUUUUUGCUUCAUUGGAUCCAUGCAGGUCUUGGAGGGUGGUGGCCCACUCUUUCUGGGCCAAGUAGAGGGUGGCUCAGACACCCCCCCUUCCUCCAGGCUUCUCAUCUGUAACUGGUGAAGCCCGGAAGAGCUUGUUGUUCAAGAGGAAAUCUUGUGUUACUUCUUUAUGAAGGACUCCAGCCUGGUGGAGAUGAAUGAGUCCUGAAGAUGGAAUCGAAGCUGUUUGGGCACAAUACUUUAAUCAGCAUUUAAUGACCCAGUCGAAAAUUCAUUGUUUGGACCCAAGCACUGGUGGGAAAGGCAGGAGGGGAGGCCUGCCUUCCUUCCUCCCUCCCGAGCCCUACAGCAGGCCAUGGAGUGGUGAGCGAGUUCGUACAGUGCCAACCACAUUCCCAGAAACUUCCAGCAGAGGUUAAUCCUGCUCCUCUCAGCCAUGCCUGAGCUGGACACCCUUCCAUACCAACCCAGGAAAAAGUGAUUCAGCUCCGGUCCACCCUGGGUGCAGCGGUCCUUCUGCCAAGAUGCCUUCAUAUCAUACAGCUAUUAUUUUCGGGAGGAUUCCAAGUGAGGGCAGUCAGGGUGGGCUUGGCCCAUUCUCUAGACUUUGGAAGGUAAUGUUCUAUAGAGGCCUGUUCUGAAGCUUUACCAGGUCAAACCGGAGAAGAACCCAACAAGUAACUCAUCCCAGCCUAACUAUUCUUCAAGGGCAAUCAACCUACAGCAUCCAAGCACAGAGAAAUCAAAUCCAUGGAGAAUCUUCAAAUUAGGCUCAGAAUCCAUUUGGGUCAAUGAAUUUACUGUUAUUAAGAUCUUAGUUGUGUUCAACCAUGAUUUGACAUACCUUAGAGUGAGAAGAUAUUCUUCCUGGCCUCAGACUAGUUGAAGGUAGAGAGAGAGACAGGCCCUUGGGUGUGGGGAGACCUCUCCUGGGAUAAUACACACAAAAAACCAAGAGCUGCUCACUGUGGUGCAGGAGACAGCAGGGCCUGAAGCCAGAGGCUCUGUGUCCUUGAAUACAAUGUUUUACUCCUCUGACCCCUGUUACUGUGAUUUGGAGAGGCAGACAAUAUAGGAUGGGCUUUGCAGGCAGGGAGGUCCAGUUAUAAUCCCAGCUCUUACUAAGUUGGGUAAGACUCACUCUGAGACUUAGUUUCUUCUGUCAUCUCUCAAUAGAAUCAUAAAGGUACUUUCCUCUUAGUGUUGUUUUAAAAUUCAGUAAAAUAAUGCAGGCUUAGCACAGGGUCUGAUGUAAAUUUUCAAUGAAUUAUCGUUGUCAAUAUUGUUCUGGAAAACAAGAGGGCAUAUUAGAAGAUCAAAAGUACUGCCAAGCAUUGAAGUGCCAAUUCUAGAUCCAGUCUCAGCCCUCUGAGAAUGGAUAUCAUUGUUUUCAAGCCAUUCAGAAACCAAUGUGAAUUGAACACCUAGUAUGAGCUCUCUGAGGGAAGAGCCAAGUCAUGCAUUUUUUAUCUUAAGGGGUCUUCAAUACCUCUAGCCCAAAACAGUAUCUCCAUCAGGAUUCUUCUCUGAUAGUGUUCAUUUCUUUUUUCUCAAUGGAUGCCUUAAAAAAAAAAUCCUACAAGGAAACCUGUACUCCUCAAAUACACCACUCAGGUGACCAUUAAAUCAUUUACAUUGUUAAUUUCUUUUCAGAUGUGUGUCUUUUUCCCUAGUUACAUCAUCAGGACCUUGAAGGUAGGGACAGGUCUUAGAUUUCUUGAUGCCCCCAUAAAUCUAGGUACAGAGUAGGUCUCUGGACAUCAGUAUAAGGCCCAUGAGCCUGAUAGCUGCCCAGGUGGGUGCUGUGUGCCUGGGCGUGGGAAGGACAAAAGAGAGGUCACUAAAGGGGUUCCUGGGAAGGAAGAGCCCCUCUGACUUUAAAAGGGAGCCCAUACACUUUUUGGACAACUGGAAUAAUCAGAAAGCUGUUUUUGGGGAGGCAGCAGCCAGAAAAACCUGGGGCAUUGGGUCAACCAAAGCCCUUCCCAAGGCUGCAGUGGCUGCAGCUAGUUAGCCCAGCUUCCCUACCAGCCCCAGGGCUGCAACUGAACAGUGUUGGCUUCUUAAUAAAAACAG
rnacentral:lncRNA from 10 species